rnacentral:lncRNA from 1 species
AUCUGACAAAUGUUUUAAAUGUUACACUCAUGAUCUUAUUAUCCAUCAACUUUGUCUUGCUCACUAUGCUUAAGGUUAGAGAGAACAAAUACACUUUUGGUUCUGUUGGUGUUUUCCACCAACCGGGCCCAUGCACUUGAUCUCUGCCUUGUCUCUAUGAGCAGGUACACUUCAAGCAAACUAUGAAGGACUUUUACAACUCCCAGACUCCACCAAGUGAAGAACCUAGAUCAACGAGUACACACACUGGAGAUACUGGACACUCAGGCAAUCACUGCCCUGAGAUGCUUGAUGACGUAAACUACAUCAUCAACAACUAUUACUACAACCGUCCUCAACAAAACCAAGGUUGGAAUCAACGGAGGCCUAACUACUCAGAGAGGCAAUCCAGGACGCCCCGUCAUCCCGAUCUCCAUCGGCAUGGUGGACUUCCUAGAAGCACUCUGCGACUUUGGCUCCAGCGUCAACAUUAUGCAUAGGGAAUAUUGAAGAACCUCUGCGUCUGAGUUGGUACCUUGUACGCCCCAGCAGACUUUGUGGUGAUAGAGACUGGUACUGAUGAGAGGGCACCCAUCAUCCUUGGGAGGCCAUUCCUGAACACCUCGGGAGCUGUCAUCUACGCUAGUGCUGCCAAGAUCAGUUUCUACAUCAAGGGGACGAAGGAGAUGUUUUCCUUCAAGAACAAGACUACCCAAACCCUAGAGCAAUCCCGACAUGAACCAAGGAAGAGGACCAACAGGAGGAACAGGAACAAGCAAAUGUGUACCGAGUCAGCUAAGAUGGUCACUGCAGCUCAAAGAGGUCAAGAUCGUCAACUCAAGUCACCUUUCUUGAUCAAGAAGGACGACCCUAGUGUUCCAAGCAUCGAGUGCACAAUCAACGGAUAUUCUUUUUAGAAGACACUCUACGACACCGGAUCUAACGUCAACAUAAUGGCCGCAGUCACUUAUCAGCUCCUGCAUGGAACCAUGUCCCUACAACCAACAUACAUUCAGCUCCAGAAGAUUUUAAGGUUAUUGACAUGGGAGAAGAUAAGUACGAUCCACCCAUCAUCCUUGGAAGACCGUUCCUCAGCACUGUUAAAGCAAUCAUCUACAUUGGAACCGGAGAAGUCCACAUGCACUUCCCCUCUGAGAAGGUACACUGCUAUUUUACUGACCCUAACUAUAUAGUUGAAGACUCUAAGCAGGUCAGGGCAAGAAGAAGACAACGCAACCGCAACCAGAGGAGGCAAAUCAUCAAGGACGGAUGGGCAGACUAUGAAGGAGAAGUCGUAAGGUCUGAAGACAUACAGCUUGAACAUAACUGUCCUGAGGAGACCGUAGCUCCGAGUCAGGUGUGGUGAGAGAAGAUAGUUAUACAUGAAGAUCAAGCGCUGCCGGAACCACCGACUACGCCAUCGAGCGAAUCCCAGGACAACUGAGAAAAUAGAGAGUCCCGUUCGGAGGACUUAAAAACACCGAACGCCUUGCCAAGAGGUAAACUUGGUAGUUAUCCUUUUUCCCUUUCAAUUAUCUAAAAUAGUUUGCUUAGUUAAUCAGGUUCAUAUCAUCUUAAAAAGAAAAUAAAAAUGUUAAAAAUAGUAAGCCCCAUGUGAGUAUGCUCAUGGAAUAAAACCCAUAAGUACAUUCACUGUGGUGGCAUAAAAAUAAAAUAAAUAUAUUCCUGUCCUAUAAAAAUGAAAAUAUAAAAAUAAAUUUAUGAUCCUAAUAAAGAGAGUAACAUUUAUUGAGGAGGCUCAACAUGAUAAAGGCUAGGUAUUUACGCUAACCCUUAACCAGUUCCACAAAGCUUUGUUGUCUAUUUGAACUCUACAGAAUUCAAGGAUCAAAGAAGACUAGCAGACGGAGAACAUCCUAAUCGCUGACAGAGUGCUGCCGACAUUCAAAUACACCUCCGCCAGCUGCUAGCUACAUCAGAAGAAAUUACGUCAAAAUCCAGCUUGGGGGAGAGCACCCCCAUUUAUCCAGCUAAGUGUUCUACUCACGUUGAUAUUUUACUCAAAUAAUAAAAAGAUGCAUGAUCAUAAAAACCCAAAUAAAGAUUUUGUGCUUAUAUAUAUCUUUGCUUAGUUUGCUAAAUAAAUAAAUAAAGUUUGCUAUGAACCCUCAUGAUAAGCUCUCACAUGGAAAUGAUGAAUAGUUGCUCUGCCAUGACUAGUUCUCAAAAUUGAAAUCUCUCUCAAGUUUAGGCCUAACUGUUAUUAAAUAAGAUUUGCUCUAAACCUGAACUUGUGGGAAGAGUACUUGAUCUGAAGUCUAAGUCGUUAACGGAUAUGAUAUGGGAAGGUUAAGCUGCUGUUUAUCUGUUCUUAGAGAUGCUAGAAUUCUGGAGAAUUUUAUCUUUGAAAAUCUUUAAAGUGUUGCAUGAUGAGUUCCUGUAUGAUGAGAGUUUAAAUUCCUACCACAGCCAUAUAUACAUGCUUGCUAGACUUUGAGCCACACAUUUACUUUUUACUGCUUAUGAGCAUUGAGUGUGGUCAAGCUGUGUAGACCCUUAGGAGCUUGUCAUGUGGUUAAAUUAAGAUUCACUUGCACGUUCACUCACACAUGCUGCUUCUACUCUGGAAGUACGCAUCCACAUAUAUCCAUCCAUUUCCAUCUCCAGAACCACCCAAAAAUAUUCUACUCCUAAUCCGGGAAAGAAUAGCUAAAAACAUUCUCCUAUUUCUGUUUUCCCCUGUGAAAUAAAUGCUCAAGUUAUCUUGGUUACUACCACUUGCUAUAUUAUUUCAGGAGAUGAGUGCUCUAAAAAAAUAAAAAGAAGAAGAAGAAAAAAAGAAAGAUACGAGGAAAUAAAAAGGGGCAAGUGCCCGGAACCUCGAAAGAAAAGAAAAAGUGAGACGAGAGGUAAAAAUGGACAAGUGUCCAACAGUAGAAUUAGGGGAACAAGAUACCCACCUGAGAGAAAAGAAAAAGAAAAUAUAGAGCAUCUCAUUCUCCUCAAAAAGUUUCAAAAGAGCAAGAAAGGUAUGUAUCCCUUCGAAAGAGCAAAAGUAGAAUUAGACUUUCACCAUUGUUAUCACCAUCAUCACCAUACACCAUUCAUUCACCACACAUGCACAUCUUGAUUUGACUUAUUGACUUGUUCUUCUGGAUCCAUGGUUUGACUAUGCAAUAAAUGUCUUGUAAGUAUGUAUUAGCUGUCUCCCACCUAUGAGCUCCAGAUAUCAAAAGCCUUAUUAGAGUAGGGUGAGAGAGAAGGCAAUGCCACUAUGCCUUAUACCACAAAUACCACAUACUUUGAGAGAAGGCAUACACCAUUAAUGCCUUGGUAAGGAUCCAGAAAUACCACAAAAGAGAGAAUAGAGAGAGUUAUACAAGGAAUCUUUGAGUUUUAUUUGAAAAUAUGCAAAAACUCCAGAGCUAUAGUUAAUCGAAGAACAAGAGACAUGGCGCUUGACUAGACCGUUCUAUCUUUUAACUGCUCAAGACAGAAGUGACGGUUACAAGUCCCAUGGUGGAAGGUAAAAUGAGUAAGUUUAAAUCUUAACAGUUUACUCUAACCAGAGAUGAGAUCUUGUUUAAACGCAUGUGUAUCUUUAAGUUAUGAAACCACUGCAGAAACUCUUGAGUUCAUCUUUGCUCAGGGACGAGCAAAGGUUAAGCUUGGGGGAGCUUGUUGACGGUCCUUAAUACUCACAAUUAACUAUCAAUUAAUCAUGGAAAAGGAUCCAAAUGCAACCAACACCUAGACUUAGGGUUUUAUCUGACAGAAUUCCACGAGUUUUGGUGUUUGUGUAUUUCUGCAGGGGGUUAUCAGGAAAUAUGGAAGAAAGGCCCACAGGUCGGGUUUACAUAGAGAUAUUAACAUGUCGCGCAAUUUUCUAUCAUCUAGAAGACUCCAGAAGCCACGGGAACGAACGGGAAGGAAAUCGGGCUCGGAGGCAGGGUGCCCGCCCAACUCUCCUGGGCGCCCGCCCAGCUACAGUGUCCAAUCAGGACACGUUUCGCGGAUUAUGCUCCACCGACCUAAAGGAUCAAGGAAAACCGUGCGAUCAAUGUCGGUUUGAUCCGACGGCCUAGAUUCAUCUGAAAAGACUAUAUAAGCAAGGCCCCCUGGCCCCUGGAGAUCAUACCUCUUCUACAGAAUCAAAGUUAGGGUUUCAAUUCUUCAUCCAAGUAGAGAGGAUCCCUCUAGUUCUUCUAGUUCUACCUCUAGUUCAUCUAGAUCUAGUUCUAGUUCAUCUAGUUCUAGUUCUAGUUCCUCUAGUUCUAGUUCUAGUUAGUUAUAGUUGUAAUCAAGAAAAUAGGGAGAGAGAAGAGGAGAGCGGAGGAGGAACCGGAUCUGUCGGAUCUUCCUCAACAUUGUACUUUUGCAGCAUCUGGUUCAUUCUUCAUCGUUCUCCAGGUUCUUCAACUCAUAACUCCUAAGUUCUCUAAUUACUUUUAUUUACAUUCAAGUUAUUUAUUGGAUUCCCGCUUGCAUCAAGUGCUCUAAUCUUUGAAACAUUAGAGUAGUAAUUAAUAGAUUAGACGUGGAGUUUAGUCUUGCAAUUACCUGGAAUUGCACCCAAUCCUGCGGAUUGUUGUGGUAGCCUUAUGGUAGUGACAGCCCUAACGGUCGACGUAUUCCACCUCGUUUGGAUCGGUAUUUGUAGGACCGUAGUCGGAGCUUCCUAGCCCCCUUCUCAUCUCUUUCCAUGGUUAGUGUUCUGAUGUCCCGAUAUAGAUAAUCUUGAAGUAAUUCUUGAUUCUUAAAUCAACUAGAGAACUCUUAGGAAACUUCCUCUCUUCCCACCAAAAAUACUUAUAUAGUUAUCCUUGGGCGAUCUUGAUUCUUAAUUAGUACACUCACGUUCCCUGUGGAAAAUCGAUACUCUGGAAUACUCCCGGGUGAAGGCUACAUCGGUAUCCGUGCGCUUGCGGAUUUUUCUGUUUGCGUUUAAAAUACCCAACAGUGACCCCGCCUAAGGCGGUUGGGUAUACGAGUCCCGAGGUACCACGCCUUUCCACGGUGCCAGCAGAGCAGCUUUCGCAGUUCUGAGGGACCUCAUGGAGAGGUUUCCAUAGGAGCUGGCCCACGCCUUCGCUGGGGUGUUUCCCCGGGGUGACCCCUACAGUUCGGUGUGGGAUCAGUCCGAGGUGAAUGCUCUAGAGAGAAGUGCGGACGAGGACCAGCACAGUGACAGUGCAGCUAUGAGUGCUAUGUUCGCCUUGAUGAAGACCUAUGGGGGUCUGGAGCGUUGUUUGGGACGCUUGUCUGGGUCUCUUCUCACAGUUCAGGAUGAGAAGUGCCAGCUGCAGCGUGAGUUUGACACUGAGGUUGAGAGGUUGCAAGCAUAGUUGGCCCGCAUGACUCGAGAGAGGGAUCAGGCGGUCCAAAAGAACAGUGAGCUGAGUCUGGACCGGCUUGCAGUAAGAGACCAGAGGGACAGGGUGACUACUUCUCACAGGAACUGCGAGCGCAUGCUAGUUCAUGUGCUUGGUCAGAGGAAUGAAGCCUGGCACGAGGAGGACACCCGAAGGGCCCGACAGCUAGAGCUUGAGCAGCAGCUAGCUAAUGCUGAGGAGUACAAUGAGAACCUGCGUGAGGAAAUCCACCAGCUGCAUAACCAGCUCCACCCUCACCACCUGCCUGGAGGAGCUGAGUUAGACUCUGAGGACGAGAUGGAUGAGGGCCCAGAGUUGGGGGCAGCUGCUAGUGGAGAUGAGGACGAGGAGGGCUCUGGCGUGGACAGUGACCAUAGCGAGUAGAUGUUAGGGAUAUAGAGCUAGUCCUUCUUCUUUUGUUGUUGUUGUUGCAUGGCAUGUCUUGUAAUCUGUGGAUCUGGGCUGUGUAAAACUUUAUGUGAUGACGCUGAAAGUCCAGUGUAUGUAUGCUGGCAAUUUUGGAUGUAUGCGAACCUGAUUGUUUAAUGUUAAGUAAUUCGUUAGUGAGGUUGUGUGGAUGAUGAAUUGUUGUGCCUUUGUUUAUUGUGCGAAUUUAUUUCCUCAGUAAAUUCAGUAUGGCAUAAUUCUACAUAUGUCUACCGUUGAUGGCAACUCCUAACGACUGCUUAUCAUUGACGUGUGCAGAUGGUGCAAACCCGUGGCUGGGGUAACAGCAACCCCGGACUUGGAGCAGGUACUUCCGGAGGUGGGGCUCAACGGAAUGAGGAAAGAGCACCAUCACCGCCACCACCACCGCCUCCUCCGUACACUGCGGACGUGUUUUUUGCAUAGUUUCUGGGGAGCCAACGCAACAUGGAGCAGAUGCAGCGCAACAUGGAAGAAGCCCUGUGCAAUAUCGCUGACAAUACCCGCCGUGGGGAUAACCAGGGCGGCCGUGAAGCCAAUCAGUAUAGCUCUUUCAAGGACUUCAUGGAUACCAAACCACCCGUCUUCAAGGAGGCCCUAGAACCGCUUGAGGCAGAUGAGUGGAUCAACACCAUGGAGCAAAAGUUCCAUCUUCUUUGGAUGACUGAAGAACUUAAGGCUGAGUAUGCAGCGCAUCAGUUGCAGGGACCGGCUGGGAUUUGGUGGUCCCAUCACCGUACCACCUACCCAGAGGGGACCCCAAUUACCUAGAACCGCUUCACCGCCGCUUUUCGGGGAAAUUGCAUUCCUCUGGGUGUGGUGGAAAUGAAGGUUGGGGAGUUCAUGAGGCUGUCCCAGUGAACGAAGUCUGUAAAGGAGUAUCAACACGCUUUUAACAAUCUCGCUCGUUACGCCCCCGAGUAUGUGAACACGGAAGCCAAGAAGAUCGCUAGUUUCCAGAGAGGCUUGAGCCCAAAGAUGUUGAAGACUAUGGGUACAGGAGCCCGGGCUACCUUCAAUGCUUACAUCAGUGACUGUCUCACCCAGGAAAACAAUAACAACAACUACAGUGCAUCCAAGUCUCGUAAGAGGGCUUUUGAAGCUGGGUCAUCUCAGUCUAGGGCACCAGUGGCGGGGCGACAGCAGUAUCGUCCUCCUGCCCUAGGUGCAGUAUGGACUUUAUCAUGGGUUUACCGACAACAUGAAAAGGGAAUGACUUGAUUUGGGUAAUCAUAGAUCGAUUCACCAAGUCGGCUCAUUUCAUUCCAGUUAAGAACACGUACAGACCUCCCGAGUAUUCCUAAGGCCAUUAUAUCAGAUAGAGGACCACAGUCCACUGCUCAUUUCUGGGAGCGAAUGCAUAAGAGUUUGGGGACUAGUCUGAUAAGAAGCACAGCGUAUCAUCCCCAAACCUCGGGUCAAACGGAAAGACUCAAUCAAGUGCUCGAAGAUAUGCUGAGGGCUUGUGUGUUAUCAUCCAAAGGAUCAUGUGAGUCAUGGUUGCCUUUGUCUGAGUUCUCAUACAAUAAUAGCUAUCAAGAGAGUAUCAAGAUGGCUCCGUUCGAAGCGUUGUAUGGUCGUAAGUGUAGAACUCCGUUAAACUGGGUUGAACCGGGUGAAAGGAGAUACUAUGGUAUCGACUUCGUGAACGAGGCUGAGAAAAAGGUGCAAAUCAUACAGCAGCAUAUGAAGGCGGCACAAUCGCGACAAAAGAGUUAUGCUGAUAAGAGAAGAAGGCCGCUCGAAUUCAAUAUAGGUGAUUAUGUUUACCUCAAGGUUACGCCAAUGAAGAUAGUUCAGCGUUUCUGAGUUCGAAGCAAGCUUGCACCCACAUAUGUGGGACCAUAUCAGAUACUAGAAAGGAAAGGCCCUAUGGCCUACAAGAUUCAGUUACCCGAAGAGUUAAGUUCAAUCUUCCCAGUCUUCCAUGUGUCGUAGCUGCGGUAAUGUUUGCAAGUACCCGAGCAGAGGAUUGAACUGUAACAGAACCGACCAAAUUAUAAGAGAUUAAGCCUAAUAGUGACCAUUUGCAUAGUCGAACUAUCACGCUUAAGCCCAUAUAAUCCCGGUAGUCCGUGAAAUCUCGAUGGAUUUCAAACCACACAUCACAUAACAGCCAAGAUCGUAAUAAGUUUAGCGGUCGCCAUCCACAAGUACAUCCAGAUUACAACAUUCAUAAAAUACAUCGGAGUGCUUAAAGUUAUUACAAACCAAGUUCUUCAAGUAGCGGAAGCUUCAUAGUUUGAAAUUUACAACACACACGAUAAGUCUGUUACAGUGCCAUAGUUCGGUCAUUCCCACAAAAGCAAAAGAAGAGACGGAGUGACCAUCGCCCUUGGUCUAGUCAUCACCCACAGCUGGGUACAGACAGAGGAUGCAAUAACCAUAGUACAUUUGACCAUCUGCAAAACAACAUGGGAAUAGAACCCUGAGUACGAGAAGGUACUCAGCUAGACUUACCCAUCAUAAACUUAAAAUAAAGACUCAUCAAGGAUCAUGAAGGCUAUAUAGUGGGGUAGCUGACGACCAUUUUGCAAAACCGCAGUAUUUCGCUAACAUAACCUACAUAAGUCUUUCUUCUUUUAAUUGGCUCAAGUUGAAAGUAUCAUUACCUAUCGUCUAGGUUUGCACCUGCACUAUUACAAGCAAGUAGGAGACUAUGAUAGUACCUCAUCAUAGCAUUUCUUAAAACUAUUCAUCAUUAUAACCCAAGUGUUCCAUAGUCCUUACUACGAGGACAGGGCUCAUGUCAAGUGCUCACUAUCUAGGAGCGAUGGCGAUUCGAAUCGAUUUCUAACCAGUUGGCAAAUUUAUUCCCCACACAAACCACACUCACUGAUCAAGUGAGCUACAGGUCACCGUGUUGCACUAUCCAGGACCAAUUCGCGGGUUCGACAGGCACCGCCCGUACCCGAGGACCGUUCCGGCGACCGAGGUAUCCAAGGUAUACCAAGGUUGCGCGCCGCGCCCUCGUCGUUCUCCUCAACCAUCACCAAUACAGCGCGUACAUCGGGCCGAUUCCCGGCCCGGAUAGUGCUCAGGCUUCGCGGUCGGAACGACUUAUCCUUCCAGCUAAAUGUGGGGCAUGCGUUCAACAUGACAAGAGGGCCGUCAACGAUCGGUCCUUAAUCGACACAGGCAGGGGCUCUAUGGGCAACCCACCAUAAGACCCUGCCCGGUCUCCAAUUACAGUUCACACUUGGUUAUUUCUUUCCCCAAGCAACCACUGCUUAAUCAAGCAGGUAUCCACCUAUAUCUCGCAGGUGACAGGGCAUCACCCGACUUCUACCGGACUAAGCAAGCUAAGCAUAGACUCCGCGCCUAUCUACAUAGGACAAGGUAGAUAAACGAGUAGGGAUGACAAGGAGUACAUAUGCAGCAACGGUAUCAGGCAACUCCUAUCACUUAAUAUGCAAUACAGUAGAACAAGUAUAACACUUUAUAUAAGUUAGCGAGAAUAGGGAGACUUAGAAUGCUCCGGGGCUUGCCUUUCUCAAAGGUGCUGGGUCGGUGAUCCGGACACUCUUGCAAUUCCUCUCCGGUUUCCUGUGCUUCCGGAGGUUCCUGCUCCUGUAUCUCCUCGGGUUCCUCGGGUCCCACUUCGUUCUCCUGCGAGCCUGUAUGAUGCAUAUAUGCUCAUGAGUGGAGUGCUAGAUGCCCGAGUGGAUGCUUGUAUGAGAAAGUACCAAAGGACCAUGACAUGAUGCAUGGAUGAUACACUUGGUCAUGUUCAUUACAAUGUAUGCAACAUCAUCCAAGAACAGGCACUUGGAUUAAGCAUCUAUUGCAUUCUCCUCUACAAUUAUUUUUCAAAUGAAAUCAGCAACCUACAUGAUGCUUCAAAGAUACACCAAACCCAACUUAGUCCAUUCAACCUACAUACACAACCAUUCAUAAUUUUCUUUAUUCAUUUCUAAGCCCAUUAAAAAUCACAUGCAAUUCUGUUCAUCAAUAAAUUCCAGAAAAAUUACAGGAGACUACUAGUUAAUCAUAAAGUCUACUGUAAAUUUUUCAUAAUUUUUGGUUACUUAUUUUGAGCCACAAAAAUCACAAUAUUAAUGGAUAAGGCAAGUAUAAUCACCCUACUGUGAUAUAAGUGUCAAACAACAGAUUUCAUAUUUUUACAAUUUAUCUAAUAUCAUAAGAAACACCCACAAAAUUUUCCAGAUUUAUUGCAUGACCCAUUUAAUUAUUAAAAAUCAUAAAGCACUGCCAUGCAAGCAUUUAAAUUACCAUAAAUUCAUUUAUUCACCAAAUAAUAUGCAACAAUAUUUUCUCGGUGAUUAAACACACAUGCAGAGCCAGCAAAACAAGUUUUACAUUUUUCUGAACCCUAUUUUAUUUACUAUGCAUUUUCCAAGUUUAGGAAAAACAUGGAUUAAUUAUAUUCUUACAGGAAAGUUACUCAAAAAUGACAUGCAAUCAUACUAGGCUGUAGAUCUAGAAAUAAGGAACACACCAAAAUUUAUUUCACCAUUUUUGGAGCUAUAUUCAUCAAGAUAUGGAUUUUUGAACAUUUAAAUCAUUUCGUGGAAAAACUUUUAAAACGGAAAACCACCUAAAACACUAAACGCACCCGGAUCCAUUCCCUCGGAGUCACUGACAGGCGGGACACGCGAGUCAGAGGACCCCACCUGUCAUCCACCCCGUGACCCCGCGGCCAAAGAUCGGCCGGAAUCUCGCCGCCGGUGAGGUUUCUGGCGACACCGUGAGCACCUACGGCUUCGCGCGAACGAAACGAGUCCAGCCGUACCCUCUUUGGCACCGGACGAGCACCGGAACUACCUCGCCGUCGUGAAUGGCGGACGCGGCGGCGUUGCUCGCCGUGGUCCGGCCGUUUCACGGCGGUAGAGCGUGAGCUAGUGACGGGAAAAGGUGCGCGAGGUCAAGGCGGACCCAAAGCACCUACGAGCGCAAGCAGAGAACCGCGCGAGCCGAGAGGUCGCCGGAGCUCCGACUUACUCCGGUGAGCUCUAGCGGACACGCAGGGCUUACCGAGCGCGGAAGAGCGUAAGCACGCGACGCGGAAGGACGAGGCGGAGCCGGUGGUGGUCGCGAAGGGGAAGGAGAGGGCCGGAGCUGGCCGGGAGAGGAGCUCCGAGCCGUCGGCGGCUAUGGCGUGCGGCGGAGCGGCGAGCGCUGCGCGAGAGCGAGCAGAGAGGCGAGAGCGAGCGGUGGAGGGUGCAAAUGGAAGCGGGGGCUUCGGCGGGCGCGUCCAGGGGCUCCUGGUGGCCGACCAGGGCGUCUCCACGCCGCCGCAUGCCCGCCACGCGGCGGCCAGGCUCUGCCGGCGCGCCACGGCGGCACGGCGAGGCCGUCCGCGCGCGCGGACGCAGGCGCGAGCGCGAGGAGGGGGAAGGGGAAGGCGCGGGCGGGCCAGGCCGGCUUCGGCCAGCGGGCCAGAAGCGAGGCCGCGGCCUGCUAGCGCCCCCUUUCCCUUUUCUAUUUUUUUUUGAAUUUCUUUUCUCAAAUCCUCUUCCAAAAGCAUUUUGACCAUUUUCAAAUCAUUUUCACCAUUUUCACCCAAAAGCAAAGUGGUGCCAAACUAAAAGCUCUACAACUUUGCUUUAAUAGGUAAGACCAAAUUCUAAAUAGAAUUUGAAUUACAAAUUAAAACUUAGUUCUAGGUUUUUAAAUAAAGUUAUUUUGGAUAUUUUGUAUAAAUUCCAUUUCUCAAUUUCCAUAGCUCCAAAAAUUGCACAAAAAUGUUCUUAAUUCUUCUUACACAUAAAGCAACCUAAUUUGAAUAUUUCACAAUUUUUGAAGCAAGCACCACAUUUUUAACAUAUUUAAAACGUAUGAAAUGAUGCACUUAAAAUCAUAUUCUUAGAAGAAUGACAUGCUCAUGAUGCUUAUGAUUGAUGAGAGUGCUUAUGCAUGACUUUGAUGAGACUAAGUGCAUGCUUAACACCUAGGGUGUUACAGCCCUUCCCCCCUUAGGGAAAUCUCGUCCCGAGAUUUUGGGUUACUAACCAUUUCUUGUGAAAUUUUGGAUAAACUGUUUUUAAGUAAUCCUCUGUUUCCCAAGUGGCAUCCCUAUCGUCAUGAUGACUCCACACCACUUUGUAAGUUCUGACAACUCUGUUUCGGGUUACUCGCUCCUUGGUAUCCACAAUCCCCACUGGCUGCUCCUUAUACUCUAGGUCUGCUUUUAUCUUGAUCCCUCGAGGUUCAAUUCUUUGCUCAGGCACUUUCAAACAUUUCCGUAGUUGCGACACAUGGAAGACCGGAAAGAUCGAGCUCAUCUCUUCAGGUAACUGAAUCUUAUAGGCCACUGGGCCUUUCCUCUCUAGCACUUGGUACGGUCCCACAUAUCUGGGUGCAAGCUUGCUUCGAACUCGGAAACGUUGAAUUUUCUUCAUUGGCGUAACCUUGAGGUACACAUAGUCACCUAUGUUGAAUUCAAGUGGCCUUCUUCUCUUAUCCGCAUAACUCUUUUGUCGUGACUGUGCCACUUGCAUAUGCUGCUGUAUGAUAUGCACCUUUUUCUCGGCAUCAUUCACAAAGUCGAUACCAUAGUAUCUUCUUUCACCAGGUUCAACCCAGUUUAACGGAGUUCUACAUCUUCGACCAUACAAAGCUUCAAACGGGGCCAUCUUGAUGCUCUCUUGAUAACUAUUAUUGUAGGAGAAUUCAGCCAAUGGUAACCACGACUCCCAUGAUCCCUUGGAUGAUAGCACACAGGCCCUCAGCAUGUCUUCUAACACUUGAUUUAGCCUCUCGGUUUGACCUGAAGUCUGGGGAUGAUACGCCGUGCUUCUUAUCAAACUGGUCCCCAAGCUCUUAUGCAUGCGCUCCUAGAAGUGAGCGGUGAACUGCGGUCCUCUAUCUGAUAUGAUUGUCUUGGGAAUACCAUGCAACUUGACAAUCUCAGCCAUAUAUAUAUCGGCAUACUCAGGAGGUCGGUAACGAGUCUUCACAGGGAUGAAAUGGGCCGAUUUGGUCAAUCGAUCUAUUAUUACCCAAAUCGAGUCAUUCCCCUUCCUGGUUGUCGGUAAACCCGUGAUAAAGUCCAUACUGACCUCUUCCCAUUUCCACUCCGGAACUGAUAACGGUUGCAACAGACCUGCAGGUUUCAUAUGGAUGGCCUUAACCCUGCAACACGUGUCACAACGGGCCACAUAAGCGACUAUUUCUGUCGAGGGUAUCGGUAGGGGGUACCCUCAGCGAUACGCAUUAUGAGAUUGCCCAUACGAAGGUUGGGACCCCCAACUCGACGCCUUAAUCUUACUUACGCGCCGCCAACGACGAUCGCAGCCUCGAAUACGGAGAUAGCGUCGAGCGAAUCAGUCAGGGCUCGAGCAACGACUACCGUCGAAGACGGAAGCGGGCUCGAGCGAACCGAGAAACGUCGAGCGUUAGGACACUGUCCGCCGCCUGACGCGCGCACGCGAGCGGGAGCAUUGAAUGCAUCUGACGUUUCCCACCUAACACCCGGGUCACGGAAGGCGUGAUAGGGAACAAGCUUCUGUCCCAUCGUUCUUUUUGCAGCCUUCCCACCGAACGACCCAGGGUGCGUCAGGACGCAGGAAACGAGGAUGGAACGUCUAAUCGGGACCCCCUCGAGACACCCAAGGUCAGCGCUCCGGAUGUCAGCCUAUUACGCGGCGCCCGAACCUCGACCGAACGAGGUCCCUUCCCAGGGACAAGUCGGGCAUCGACUGACAACACCACAGCUGCUCCGCCGGAUCCGCCACCAUACCAUACGAGCAUGCGAUCUCAGAACCAGCACAAGGCGGCUGGCAGGGCAGCACGCAGGAGCACGCGUAAUCAUCACCAAGCUAUCAAGAUGGGACGGCUCGAGGCCAUGACGUACGGAAGCCUCGAGUAGGUCAGCGCUCCAUGCGGCUAUCGAUCCCUACUCUAAUAUCUAUGCAUGUACCCUUUGUCUCUCCUUGGAGCUAUAAAAGGAGGGACUCAGGAAUAGAAGGGAGGGAUCACAACGCAAGCACACACACACACGUAGUAGAGCGGCACAUUUCAUUCCACACUUGUAUUCGCCCCUGUACAAGCACUUAGGUGCAAGAUAAUACAAACUCUCCCCCCCCACUGGACGUAGGGCCUUCUCUUGCCCGAACCAGGAUAAAUCUCUGUGUUUUCUCGCAUCACCAUCCGGAAAGGGGAGCACGCAUAUAAAUUUACUCGUUGGUGUGAUCCCCCCCCGGGGGAAAAACACCGACAGUUGGCGCGCCAGGUAGGGGUCCUGCGUGUUUUUUACCGAUUUCCCACCACUUUCCGGAUGGCUACUCCUGCCUUGCCGCUUCCACGCUCCACGGUGAUUUGGUUUGGGAGUCUCGAGUUCAUGUCUACGGGCUCCGGCUACGACAUGAUCUUGCUCUCAGUCAAAGGACCAGGAGAAGUCCGCGUUACGCCAGCACGGUUGAAGACCUCAAGACGCCCUCACCACCACGCCUCCCCGCCUAAGAAGAGGCGCGGGCUCAACCACCGCGGCCCCUCUGCUUCAGCGCGACCAGCAACUCGCGCAAGGCAGGAUGUGGGCCGCAAGGCAGCGACACCGCGUGACCGAGCAACAAGCACAACGACUCAGCACCACGCAACGACAGGGGGAGACGCGUCUCGCGCGCCCACCCCCACCGCAGCUAGGCUACUUCCACACGGGUUGUUCUUUCCAAGGGCGGCACUGCCGUUCGGGUUGGACAACGCCGCGGCGUCGCUCGCCAAGACGAUACGCCCAAAUGCUCAGACGCACGUGGAAAGACCAAUGGUCAUCCCACGUAGCUCUGAAGAGCAGCGGCCGACGUCCAAACUGCCGGACCUUUCCCGAGUACGAGGCCUCCGCCGUCUAGGCCCCGGGCGAUACUCGAUCACCUCCCUCGAGCAACGAUGGUCGGAGGAAGGACGUGAGCGUUCCCACACUGCCGAACCAGACUCCGACUCCGAGACAGACAGCUACGACCCUACGAGGGAAUGCUAUCACCUCGACGGAGUGGCAGAAACCACCGACGAGAUACGGGACGCCGUUGCGGGUGGACGAGCCCCCGCGGCGCAAGAAGACCCCAGGACGCCUGGGAACGACGGAAGGUUCGACCCUCUUCCUCAGGAAGAUAGAACUGCGCAACUCGCGCAGCUGCGGGAGCUCAAGAUGAAGCUCGACGAAGAUCGCGAGCGCCUCGUCCUGCUCGAGCAAAUCCUCGAACAAGACCUGCCCUACCCGCCAGGCGGAAGUAUCCGCAGACGCGCUCGAGAGGUACAUCGACAGAUCGUCGGUGACACGGAGGCGGAGCAACCUGUCGGCCGUUUCCCUCGAGCAGGCCAGAAUGUAGUGGCGGCGACGAUGCUGCUACGUAACAUGCCAGAACCAUCGAAUUCCCAGGCUCGACGAAUUCGAGAUGAGGUUCAGACGUUGCUCCAGGUGGCAGCAGUUCAACAAGCCGAAAGUUCGGCAUCUCGACGACGAGGAGCUGCCACAGAGAAGCGCGACGAACAGCCUCUAAUCGAAGAGGAGGUGUCUGUCCAGCAACAACCUCCCCCUCGAGGCAGAAAGACCACUCUCAUCCUCCCUACCAACAAUCAACGUCGACACGACGCGCGACACGACGUCAGAGAAAGUAGACGCCGACGGCACGGAGACGCGGAAGAACGUGGUUAUAGCGCGCAUCGCGGUGGGAGGUACGACAGUGACGCGGACCGGGUGGCCCCCGAGCCACCAGGCCCGCGGGUGUUCAGCAGAGCAAUUCGCAGCACACCCCUGCCUAGUCCAUUCCGACCCCCAACCAGCAUCGCGAAGUACAAUGGAGAAACCAAGCCAGAGCUAUGGCUGGCCGAUUUCAGGCUGGCUUGUCAGCUAGGCGGCGCUCGGGGGGAUGAUCGAGCCAUCAUCAGACAACUACCCCUUUUUCUCUCCGACACCGCCCGUCGAUGGCUCGAGGAGCUCCCAGCCAAUCAGAUUCACAACUGGGUUGACCUGGUCAGAGUCUUCGAAGGUAACUUCAAAGGGACCUAUAUACGGCCAGGGAACUCGUGGGACCUCAGCAAAUGCAAGCAGAAGACAGGAGAGACUCUUCGGGAGUAUGCUCAACGCUUCUCGAAGCAACGCACUGAGUUACCACACAUCCCCGACCACGACGUCAUCUUGGCGUUUGUCUCGGGCACCACCAGUCGAGACUUGGUGCGGGAAUUAGGCCGCAAUCGACCUCAGACCGUCGACGAGCUGAUGGACGUAGUAGCUAACUACGCGGCAGGGGAGGAGGCAGUCGGCGCUUUCUUCAGCUCAGAAGGAAGAAAAGGCAAGCAGCCCGUCGAUGAAGAAAGGACUAGGCCUCAAGAAAAAUAAAAAGAAGCAGAAAGUACGGCAAUUCCACCAGGGAGAUUCGGAUGACGACCUCGUCGCCACGGUGGAUCGAAAGAAGCCGCGAGGCCCUCCGGAGGGAGGCAUCUUCGACAAGAUGUUGGAGGAGCCGUGCCCUUACCAUAAGGGGGGCGCUAACCACAAACUCAAGGAUUGUCGCAUGCUGAGAAAGCAUUUCGACGGUCAGGAGCUCAAAAAAGAUGCGCGUGAUGACUCCAAGAAGGAGAAGGCCGGCGGCAAGGAGGACAACAAAGAUGACGACGGCUUCCCCGCCGUCCACGACUGCUACAUGAUCUAUGGCGGGCCUUCGACUCAGUUGACCACGAGGCAGCGCAAGAGGGAGCGUCGCGAAGUCUUCGCGGCGAGGAUGGCGGUGCCCCAGUACCUUAGCUGGUCAAGCACUCCCAUCACCUUCGACCGAGAAGAUCACGCUGACAAGGUGGUCGCCCCAGGCGUCUACCCGCUCGUCGUCGACCCCAUCAUCAUCAACACCCGACUCUCGAAAGUGCUGAUGGAUGGUGGCAGCAGCCUCAACAUCAUCUACCUCGAGACCCUCGACCUCCUCGGCAUCGACAGAGGACGCCUCCAGCCAAGCGCCGGUGGUUUCCAUGGCGUCGUACCAGGGAAAAAGGCACUGCCAGUAGGUCGAAUCGACCUACCGGUCUGCUUCGGCACGGCGGCCAACUUCAGGAAAGAAACCCUCACCUUUGAGGUGGUCGGGUUCCGAGGCACGUACCACGCCAUCAUCGGGCGCCCGGGCUACGCCAAGUUCAUGGCUAUACCCAACUACACAUACUUGAAGCUCAAGAUGCCUGGUCCCAAAGGCGUCAUCACCUUCAGUUCCUCCUUUGAGCACGCGUACGAGUGCGACGUCGAGUGCGUCGAGUACGGGGAGGCGGUCGAGAGCUCCACCGAGCUCGUUGCAAAGCUCGAAGCCAUGGCCACUGAGGCUCCAGAACCUAAACGUCAUGCGGGCAGCUUCGAGGCGGCGGAAGGAACUAAGAAGAUCCCACUCGACCCCAACAACUCCGACGGCAAGGUGCUGACGAUCAGCACCGACCUCGACCCCAAAUAGGAAGCCGUGCUCGUCGACUUUCUCCGUGCGAAUGCUGAUAUGUUUGCAUGGAGUCCCUCGGAUAUGCCGGGCAUACCAAGGGAAGUCGCCGAGCACUCCUUGGAGAUUCGAGCCGGUUCCAAGCCAGUGAAGCAGCGUUUGCGCCGAUUCGACGAGGAAAAGCGCAAGAUCAUUGGCGAGGAAGUCCACAAGCUUUUGACGGCCGGAUUCAUCAAGGAGGUUCAUCAUCCUGACUGGUUCACCAUCCCCUCGGAGUCGUCGCUACUCUCGUCGUCAUCAUCAUCGUCGUUGGGGGAUUCUUCCUCCGGCUCCCCCCUCUGCCUGGAUUUGGCUCGACGCGCCUCUAAUGCUUGGCGGUCGAGAUUCUUCUUCUUCUCCCCCUUUUUUGCGGAGUCCUUGGCAGACUUCAACUUCUCGGCGGAUUGGCGCCGUUUGUCGCGAUCGACCUCGUCCUCCUUUACUGGAGGCCUCGAGGACCGGACAUCAAUCCGACCCUGCCAAAACUAAGGUAGACUUAGAAAACAAAGAGAGGGGAGAGGGGAAACCUAGAAUCGAGGAUGCGCGCAAGAAGAAAGCGUACCAGAUCGAUCGAGCCCGCGUCGGGUCGCAUGGGGAAGCCGUUGACGUGCUCCGGUUUAAAAUCACCGGCAAUUGCGGCCCUGACUCGGGCCGCGACUUCAUCGUCCGUCGGAGGCUCGCUGGACAUCCGACAUGCCUCGAGGUCCCGAGACGAGACGCCAGGGCCCAUCUCGUCCAUCCUCAGCGGUCGUGACAUCAGAGGGAGAACUCUCCGAUGAUGGACGGCCGAGAGGACGAGGGCGGCGGUCAAACCUUCCUGGCGAAGCUUCUUCAGGGCGUCGAGGAGAGGGUCGAGCCGAGGCUGAUGAGCUUGGACGACGCCGUAUGUCCAGUCCGCUGGGCGCUCCAAGAUCAGACGGCCCGAGUAGGGAGGUAGGAGGUUGUCGUCAUUCCGCAGGUAGAACCAUUGAGAGUCCCAACCGGCAUGGUUGGUCGACAACCCUACCGGGAUGUACUCCCGCGGCCGGUCCGUCUUCCCCGUCUUCUGCACCAGAUUGAGGCAACCCGCUCGCACGGGUUUCCUCACGCCCGUGGUUCCGGUGGAGGCGUGAAACAGCUCGCCCCUAUAGAGGUGGAGCCACAGCUCCCAGUGCGGCAUCAUCCCUAGGAAGCCCUCACACACGGCGGCGAAGACCGCCGCCACGGUGAUGGCGUUCGGGGAGAAGUGCUGCAGCUCCACCCCAUAAUGGAAGCAGAGGGCCCGCAUGAAGCGGCUGGGAGGCGCGCCCAGACCGUGGCGGUGGAACUUGGCGAACGACACCACGUAGCCCUCGGGUGGCUGAGGCGUCCUGUGGCUCGCUGGCGGCGCGAUCCACUCUGGCGACGACAGCGAGGUGCGGCGGCGCAGCAGUCCCUCCUUCUCGAGCUCCAACAGCCGGCGCUCCGUCAUCGACGACGGGCGCCAGUCAUCGGCGGCGACGAGUCUUACAGGCAUCUCGGCUAACGGGACGGUGGGUUCGCUACGGCUCGAGGGGGCGCGUCUGCGUGAGAUGACGAGAAAGCAAGGGCAGCGAAAGAACGAGAGCGAGAAGGCGGAAGGGAGAGGAACGGCGGUGACGCGACGACAUAUUUAUAGGCAGCUGUCCGCCAACGGACAGAUCCGAGAAGUAAGGUAACUCCCCCAUAAAUGCGCCGCCUGACAGCUCUCUCUCUCUCCUCACAGGCCGGACUCUCCGAAUUCCUCGCCGAUACGGUGUCGCAACGUCAUCCGCCUAAAAAGACGCGCCCAACGGGCAGAAAUGCGAACCGCCACGACCGUUUCCUUCCCUCGUAAGCCAGGGGACAUAACCGCAGAAGUCUCGGGAGGUCGAUGGCUGGCCCGACGAAAGGGUUCGACAGCCGAUCUCGAGCGCCAGAGUCAGGGAUCCCCAGCGAGUGGUCGAAAAUCGAGGCCCGCCUCGAGGACUUGCUGGCGAUGUCCAAGGUAGGGUCGAGACAGUCGAGAGGAAUCCCCGCGAAGGGAGGCAUCGAGCCACUGGACUCUAUCGAAUGAGACCGGUAUCCCCGACCACGUCGACCCUGCUUUAUGAGGACGCCUCCGGGCUACAGCUGACCCCCCUCGAAAGGGGCACAGGUUCUCACUUGGACUACCCGCCAGGAACUCAAUUUGGGUUGAAAGACGCUCGCUCUAUCGAGAGUACGUCAAAACCCAUGGGCAAACACGAGCCAGUCAGAAUCUUCCACCACUGGUGUCGAAAGCGUUUCUGCGAAUUAGAUAACAUAACCCUCGAAGGAGUCAAAAACUCCUCCGAGGUCUCGGGGGCUACCCCGCGGGGUCGCUCGCGCGCCCCCACGAAAAUUCGACCGCAAAUCAAAACCUCCAUUCGAGCGCUAGCGCUCGAAUGAAGGCUCGGGGGCUACUGUCGAGGGUAUCGGUAGGGGGUACCCUCAGCGAUACGCAUUAUGAGAUUGCCCAUACGAAGGUUGGGACCCCCAACUCGACGCCUUAAUCUUACUUACGCGCCGCCAACGACGAUCGCAGCCUCGAAUACGGAGAUAGCGUCGAGCGAAUCAGUCAGGGCUCGAGCAACGACUACCGUCGAAGACGGAAGCGGGCUCGAGCGAACCGAGAAACGUCGAGCGUUAGGACACUGUCCGCCGCCUGACGCGCGCACGCGAGCGGGAGCAUUGAAUGCAUCUGACGUUUCCCACCUAACACCCGGGUCACGGAAGGCGUGAUAGGGAACAAGCUUCUGUCCCAUCGUUCUUUUUGCAGCCUUCCCACCGAACGACCCAGGGUGCGUCAGGACGCAGGAAACGAGGAUGGAACGUCUAAUCGGGACCCCCUCGAGACACCCAAGGUCAGCGCUCCGGAUGUCAGCCUAUUACGCGGCGCCCGAACCUCGACCGAACGAGGUCCCUUCCCAGGGACAAGUCGGGCAUCGACUGACAACACCACAGCUGCUCCGCCGGAUCCGCCACCAUACCAUACGAGCAUGCGAUCUCAGAACCAGCACAAGGCGGCUGGCAGGGCAGCACGCAGGAGCACGCGUAAUCAUCACCAAGCUAUCAAGAUGGGACGGCUCGAGGCCAUGACGUACGGAAGCCUCGAGUAGGUCAGCGCUCCAUGCGGCUAUCGAUCCCUACUCUAAUAUCUAUGCAUGUACCCUUUGUCUCUCCUUGGAGCUAUAAAAGGAGGGACUCAGGAAUAGAAGGGAGGGAUCACAACGCAAGCACACACACACACGUAGUAGAGCGGCACAUUUCAUUCCACACUUGUAUUCGCCCCUGUACAAGCACUUAGGUGCAAGAUAAUACAAACUCUCCCCCCCCCCGCUGGAUGUAGGGCCUUCUCUUGCCCGAACCAGGAUAAAUCUCUGUGUUUUCUCGCAUCACCAUCCGGAAAGGGGAGCACGCAUAUAAAUUUACUCGUUGGUGUGAUCCCCCCCCGGGGGAAAAACACCGACAAUUUCUUUCUUCAUCUUGGUCCACCAAAAGUGGGGCCUUAGAUCUUGAUACAUUUUGCUGCUGCCAGGAUGAAUAUAAAGCUUAGAGAGAUGGGCUUCAUCCAUGAUGCGAUUCUUCAACUCCCGAUCUUUCGGGACCACUAACCGCUGUUGAAACCACAGUACCCCCUUCUCAUCAACCCGAAACUGAGUCUUUGGGUAAUCCUUGAUCUUUUCUUUGAUAUGGAAGAUACCCUUGUCUGUUUUCUGACCUUCAAUGAUUUGACUCUCGAGUGAGCAACUGAGUUGUAUAUGACAUAAGACCUCAGGAUGCAUGAGAUUGAACCCAUCUUCAAACAACGGUUGAACCACUUGACAGUGUGGUUUACGACUUAGAGCAUCUGCUACUACAUUAGCCUUGCCUGGAUGAUAGUGAACUUCCAGGUCAUAGUCCUUGAUUAGCUCUAACCACCGUCGUUGCCUCAUAUUCAGCUCGGACUGCGUGAAGAUGUACUUCAAGCUCUUAUGAUCGGUAUAAAUGUGACACUUAUUUCCCAGCAGAUAAUGUCUCCAAAUCUUCAAAGCAUGCACCACAGCUGCUAACUCGAGGUCGUGCGUUGGGUAAUUGACUUCAUGCUUUCUCAACUGUCGGGAAGCAUAAGCUAUCACCCUGCCAUCUUGCAUCAACACACACCCCAGGCCACUCUUCGAUGCGUCACAAAACACAUCAAAAGGCUUCUCUAUAUUAGGUUGUGCCAGAACGGGAGCAGUGGUUAGCAACUUUCGCAAGGUGCGGAAGGCUAACUCACACCCUUCCGUCCAGACAAACUUAUGGUCCUUUUGUAGCAAACUUGUCAUUGGUUUAGCAAUCUUGGAGAAGUCAGGUAUAAAACGACGAUAAUACCCGGCCAGACCAAGAAAACUUCUAACUUCCGAGACCGAAGUUGGUGCCUUCCAGUCCAUGACUUCCUGCACUUUUGAUGGAUCCACAGCAAUUCCUUCUUCAGACAGAAUGUGCCCUAGGAAAGGAACUUUCUUUAACCAGAACUCACACUUGCUGAACUUGGCAUAUAACUGAUGCUCUCGUAACCGUGUCAGCACGAUUCUCAGAUGUUCGGCGUGAUCUUGCUCAUUUUCUGAAUACACCAGGAUAUCAUCGAUAAACACCACAACAAACUUAUCCAAUUCAGGCAUAAAGACUGAAUUCAUCAGAUACAUAAAGUAUGCAGGAGCAUUCGUCAACCCAAAGGACAUGACAAGAUACUCAUACAACCCAUAUCUGGUGGAAAAAGCAGUCUUCGGGAUAUCUUGCGGACGAAUCUUGAUUUGGUGAUACCCAGAUCUCAAAUCUAUCUUAGAAAACACUCUUGCCUUGGAUAACUGAUCAAACAGGAUAUCAAUCCUUGGCAAGGGAUACUUAUUUUUGAUUGUCACUGCAUUGAGUGGACGAUAGUCCACGCACAUGCGCAACGACUGAUCCUUCUUUUUCACAAACAACGCUGGACAACCCCAUUCCGACGAGCUUGGCCGGAUGAACCCUUUAUCCAGCAACUCUUUUAGUUGAUUCUUCAACUCAGCGAGUUCAUUUGGGGGCAUCCGAUACGGCCUUCUAGAUAUUGGUGCUGUACAUGGUAUCAACUCGAUUGCAAACUCUACCUCCCUAUCUGGGGGAAGUCCUGGUAAAUCCUCAGGAAACACAUCAGGGAACUCACAUACCACGGGUAUGUGUUCUAGAGGGACUACCUGUACUGCACAUGAAAGACUGGCGAAGUCCAACCGUCUAGGUAGCUUGACCUGAAGCACCCCCUUCCCUUGCGGGUCUCUAAGGGAAAGAGUUCUAUUCUCGGUAUCUAUAACCGCGCCCCAAUCAGUCAUCUUGUUCAUUCCAAUGAUGACAUCCAAAACCAGUCCUGGCAUGACCACAAGAUUUACACGGAACCUCCGACCACUGAUAUCCAAGGUAACUCCUGUUACCGUUUUAUUAGUCAACACAUCGGCUCCGGCUGAGCUGAUGCGAUAGCCAUAACCUAACUCAGUAACUGGCUGAUCAUGCUUUUGUGCAAAUGCUUGGCUCAUGAAUGAAUGCGAUGAUCCAGAAUCAAACAAAACAACUGCAAGAUGUUGGUUGACAGAAAACAUACCAGCUGUUACCGGUUCUCCUUCCGGAAUCUCCUCGAUCGAGGUAUGGUGCACACGAGCUGGAUAGGUUGGCUGCUGCCUUUUGGGGUAGGGACAUUCCUUAGCAAAGUGCCCCAUCUUGUGGCAGUUAUAGCAUGGACCCUUGGGCGCAUUGUUGGCGGCAGGUGCUGCAGCUUGAAUUGCCUUUGGCUUGGCAGGGGCUAUCGCCACCUUGUACGGCUUCUGUUGUGUUGGAUGCCCGGUGUUCCUUCUCUGCGGCGGUCGGAACCUAGCACCCGGGGCAGGAGGACGAUACUGCUGUCGCCCUGCCACUGGUGCCCUGGACUGGGAUGAUCCUGCUUCAAAAGCCCUUUUACGUGACUUGGAUGCACUGUAGUUGUUGUUAUUGUUCUCUUGGGUCAGACAGUCGCUGAUAUAGCCAUUGAAAGUAGCCCUGGCCCCUGUACCCAUGGUCUUCAGCAUCUUUGGAUUCAAACCUCUCUGGAAACUAGCAAUCUUCUUAGCCUCCGUGUUUACAAACUCAGGGGCAUAGCGAGCGAGAUUAUUGAAAGCGUGUAGAUACUCCUUCACAGACUUCGUCCCUUGGGAUAGCCUCAUGAACUCCCCAACCUUCAUUUCAACCACACCAGGAGGAAUGUAAUUUCCCCGGAAAGCGGUGGUGAAGCGGUUCCAAGUGAUUGGGGUCCCUUCUGGGUAGGUGGUACGGUGAUGGGACCACCAAAUCCCAGCGGGCCCUUGUAACUGAUGUGCCGCAUAUUCAGCCUUGAGUUCUUCUGUCAUUCGGAGAAGACGAAACUUCUGCUCCAUGGUGUUGAUCCACUCAUCUGCUUCGAGCGGUUCCAAGGCCUCCUUAAAGAUUGGUGGCUUGGUAUCCAUGAAGUCCUUGAACGAACUGUGCUGGUUGACCUCCCGGCCACCCUGAUUAUCCCCACGACGGGUAUUGUCAGCUAUGUUGCGCAAAGCUUCUUCCAUGUUGCGCUGCAUCUGCUCCAUGUUGCGUUGGCUUCCCAGAAACUGCGCGAAAAACACAUCCGCAGUGUACGGGGGAGGUGGUGGUGGUGUUGGCGCUCGGUCCUCAUUCCGUUGAGCCCCAUUUCCGGAUGUACCUGCUCCAAGACCCGGGUUGCCGUUACCCCCGCCACGUGUUUGUACCAUCUGCAUACGCCAAUGAUAAGCAAUCGUUAGGAGUUGCCAUCAACCGGUAGAAAAUGUGUAAAAUUGUGCCAUACUGAAUUUACUGAGGGAAUAAAUUCACACAAUAAACAAAGGCACAACAACUCAUCAUCCACGCACAACAUCACUAACAGAUUACUUAACAUUCACGCAACAAGGUUCGCGUACAUCCAACUUGCCAGCAUACAUACACUGGACUUCCAGCAUCAACUCAUAAAGUCUUACACAGCCCAGAUCCAAAAGUACAUGACAUGCCAUGCAACAUACAUCACAAAAGAGGAAAGGCUAGCUCUAGAGCCCUAGCAUCUAGUCGCUACGAUCACUGUCCAUGCCAGAGCCAUCCUCAUCCUCAUCACCACUAGCAGCUGCCCCUAUCUCGGGAUCCGCGUCCAUCUCGUCCUCAGAGUCUAGCUCAGCUGCUCCAGGCAGGUGGUGAGGGUGGAGCUGGUUAUGCAGCUGGUGGAUCUCCUCAUGCAAGUUCUCAUUGUACUCCUCAGCAUUAGCUAGCUGCUGCUCUAGCUCCAGCUGUCGGGCCCUCAAAGUGUCCUCCUCGUGCCAGGCUUCAUUCCUCUGUCCAAGCACAUGGACUAGCAUGCGCUCGCAGUUCCUGUGAGCAGUAGUCACCCUGUCCUUCUGCUCCCGCACUGCAAGCAGGUCCUGACUCAGCUCACUGUUCUUCUGGACUGCCUGGUCUCUCUCUCUGGUCACACGAGCUAACUCUGCCUGUAGCCUCUCAACCUCAGAGUCAAACUCACGCUGCAACUGACGCUUCUCAUCCUUGACGGUGAGAAGAGACCCGGACAAGCGACCCAAACAACGCUCCAGGCCUCCAUAGGUCUUCAUCAAUGCGUACAUGGCACUCAUAGCUGCACUGUCACUGUGCUGGUCCUCAUCCGCACUCCUCUCUAGAGCAUUCACCUCGGACUGAUCCCACACCGAAGUGUAAGGGUCACCCCGGGGAAACACCCUAGCGAAGGCGUGGGCCAGCUCCUGUGGAAACCUCUCCAUGAGGUCCCUCAAAACUGCGAAAGCUGCCCUGCUGGCACCGUGGAAAGGCGUGACACCUCGGGACUCGUACACCCAACCGCCCCAAGCAGGGUCUCCUCCACUGGUAGGGACAACUGCCUCGAUCCCCACCAGGGUCUCAUCACCAAGCGGCUCCUUAUCCCAAUAGUAGCGAGGCUCCCUUCCUUCGGGAUACCCCAUCGAACUGAGCACCCUCCAAAGCAAAGUGGGCAUCCCAAACUCCUCUAGGAACUUGGUCUUAUGUCGCGAGCUCCUAGCUGCCAACGGACGGCGAGGGGCCCGCCCACCAGUGGACUUGCGAGCGGUGAGCCUAGUGCGUGCCAUCUGCUGCAAAUGGAAUACCGUGGGUAAGAGUGAGGAUUACCUUUAAUUAUUUUAUUUAGAAUUAGGACAGAUUAAAUUAAGGGGGAAAGUAAGCAAUGAUAUGAAAUGCACAUGAUGCAUGUACGAACUUACGAUCUCACAAACUUAGAAAACAAAAGUUAACACUAAGCGGUAUACGCGGUGGCAUACAACGUUCGCUCAUAACGUAACUAGCGUUCUAAGCGAGAACGUGGUUAGGGUACCUGCAGAAAACUCAUUUCAGCCCACCCACAGUAUGAUCGUGCAGAAUAGGAAUUUAAAACUAGGCACUUCGCACACACAGACACCCGUCCAUGCAUGCGAUGUGUCACUACCCACAUCAUCGCCCUUUUGACGGCAUCGCCUCUCAGGACGGAAUUCCCAGCAUGCGGUACUGUUCCCAAGACACACCAACAUGUGCGCAUGGCACAGCACCUGACAACACUCCCCUAGACCGGCAGUGUAUCCGAUCAUGCUCUCACAACUCCCACUUACCAUGGCGUAGAGGAAGAAUUGAUCCAUACAUUACCACUCAAAUGAAUGGCACUCAUACUAUUUGCACGCCGUAUGAGCGACGAAAUGAAAAUAUGAUGCAUUAACCCCCAAGUCAG